AUGCAUUCUCAAACCCCCCUGGUAUUGUUGCUAUUACAACUUCCAGGAUAAGGAUGAAUGCAAAAGAAAAAUGUAGAGCUAUCCAAAAUGCAGAACAUUCUGUUAUUGCUCUGCAUUAUUUCACAUCUGCAACAGGAACAUUU